CCUACCUCCCCACCUGAAUGUAACUAUACUUUGCACAGUCCUCCUAUCCUUAUUCUUUCCCACCUCAGUAUACCUCUACCUCAAAAUCCCAGCCUUCUUCUGUCACUCCCCAGACCCUUAAAUCACCUCCUGACAUUUCUACCUUCCCACACUCUGCCUAAAAUCUCUAGCCCACCACCCCCCAGACACAACUUUUCCCCUGCCCUGCCUCUCUACCUCAUACCUACAUCCACAUCUUUCCCCAUCCCCUGACCUAUAUAUCAUGUCCACUCCCACCCCUGCCUUCUGUCAGGUCCCAGCAGCCUGACCUGCUCCUUAAGAGGCAAGGCAGAGAGUUGCUGAGCGGCUCACUCCUGCGGCACAGUGCAACAGCGUGCGGCCAUUUCUCAUUUCCACACCGUGGAUGUGAUCAGCUAUGGGGUCGAAAAAGUCAUAGAGAGACAUUGAUGAUCGUGGUGAUAUGGUUGUUGGACAAGAGAAAGAAGUUAACUAGAUGGCAGUCGGGGGAAGUGGAAAGAUGGUUCAGGAAUGGAACCUAUGUAAAAAAUUGAAGCUUUGGGAGUGAAGCUGUAAUCCCAGCAUAUUUACAUCAAGUUGGAAAGCAGAGAUAGCCUAUAUGGAUCAGACUGAAACUGAAUCAAUAUCCCCAUAUCAGCCCUCAAGCAAGAAAUUGUGAAAAUUGAUCGGAUCAUCGACAACACCUGCAGGUGCAAUAGGAAUUGAAGGAGGAGAAGGAGAAGGAAAGAAGAAGAAGAAGAAGAAGAAGAAGAAGAAGAAGAAGAAGAAGAAGAAGAAGAUCACAGUCCAUCAUUGAGGGAAGUCAAGUCAAGAACCUUAACUUUGUAUUGCCUGCCUCAUGUCCAGGUUUUCAGGCAGUGAUUUCUGACACAGCUUCUCUCACGGACAGUUCCAUACAGCAUGAUCUGGCAUGAGUUUUGGAGCAUGGCCCUGGAUCUCCAAGAGAAUGUAUUGAAUGUAACAGAUUUGUUAAGCAGAACCAUUGUUUCCAGGCCUCUAUCAUUGAAGGAGGAGAAGCAGCAAUCCAGGAGCAUUCCAAGUUUUAUGCACUGGAUAGCAAUUGCUGAGGUACCCACACAACAUAAUAGGUUGAGCAACUGCGUAGUUAGCCUCUCAGGAAUUCUGUUCCUUUAGAGAUCCCUGACCAAUCCAGCACCUGAGAAAUAACAAUUGAGAAGUAACAGGAUGCUGCUGCCUGCUGAGACACCUUUGAGACAAUCCACAUUGAGUGGCAACUUCGGACUGGAUCCAGGCACCUGGAUGGACUGGCCGGGGAGGGGGGGUGGGCUUACCCCCUAUAUAAGUUUAGACUCUAAACUUUAAAGUGCCUUG
rnacentral:lncRNA from 1 species